AUUGAACGCUGGCGGCAGGCCUAACACAUGCAAGUCGAGCGAGCGGCGGACGGGUGAGUAAUGUCUGGGAAACUGCCUGAUGGAGGGGGAUAACUACUGGAAACGGUAGCUAAUACCGCAUACCAUCAGAUGUGCCCAGAUGGGAUUAGCUAGUGGGUGGGGUAACGGCUCACCUAGGCGACGAUCCCUAGCUGGUCUGAGAGGACGACCAGCCACACUGGAACUGAGACACGGCCCAGACUCCUACGGGAGGCAGCAGUGGGGAAUAUUGGACAAUGGGCGAAAGCCUGAUGCAGCCAUGCCGCGUGUAUGAAGAAGGCCUUCGGGUUGUAAAGUACUUUCGGCGGGGAGGCGUUACCCGCAGAAGAAGCACCGGCUAACUCCGUGCCAGCAGCCGCGGUAAUAC
rnacentral:rRNA from 1 species